AAGGAUCAUUACCGAGUUGAUUCGGGCUCCGGCCCGAUCCUCCCACCCUUUGUGUACCUACCUCUGUUGCUUUGGCGGGCCGCGGUCCUCCGCGGCCGGCCCCCCUCCCCGGGGGGUGGCCAGCGCCCGCCAGAGGACCAUCAAACUCCAGUCAGUAAACGAUGCAGUCUGAAAAACAUUUAAUAAACUAAAACUUUCAACAACGGAUCUCUUGGUUCUGGCAUCGAUGAAGAACGCAGCGAAAUGCGAUAAGUAAUGUGAAUUGCAGAAUUCAGUGAAUCAUCGAAUCUUUGAACGCACAUUGCGCCCUUUGGUAUUCCGAAGGGCAUGCCUGUUCGAGCGUCAUUACAACCCUCAAGCUCUGCUUGGUAUUGGGCACCGUCCUUUGCGGGCGCGCCUCAAAGACCUCGGCGGUGGCGUCUUGCCUCAAGCGUAGUAGAACAUACAUCUCGCUUCGGAGCGCAGGGCGUCGCCCGCCGGACGAACCUUCUGAACUUUUCUCAAGGUUGACCUCGGAU
rnacentral:rRNA from 1 species